rnacentral:rRNA from 1 species
UACGUAGGAUGCGAGCGUUAUCCGGAAUUACUGGGUGUAAAGGGAGCGCAGGCGGGACUGCAAGUUGGAUGUGAAAUGCCGCAGCUUAACUGCGGAGCUGCAUCCAAAACUGUAGUUCUUGAGUGGAUGAGAAGUACGCGGAAUGCGUGGUGUAGCGGUGAAAUGCAUAGAUAUCACGCAGAACUCCGAUUGCGGAGGCAGCGUACCGGCAUCCAACUGACGCUGAGGCACGAAAGCGUGGGGAUCAAACAGG